GAAUGAAGAACGUAGCGAAAUGCGAUAAGUAAUGUGAAUUGCAGAAUUCAGUGAAUCAUCGAAUCCUUGAACGCAUCUUGCGCUCCUUGGUAUUCCUUGGAGCAUGCCUGUUUGAGUAUCAUGAGCAAAUCUCAAAGUCAAAUUCCUUUUGUUAAUUCAAUUGGUUUUGCUUUGGACUUGGAGGUCUUGUAGAUUUCACAGUCUGCUCCUCUUAAAUGCAUUAGCUGGAUCUCAGUAAUUAUGCUUGGUUCCACUCGGCGUGAUAAGUAUCACUCGCUGAGGACACUGUUAAAAAGGUGGCCAGGAAAAUACUGAUUGAACCGCUUCUAACGGUCUAUUAAGUUAGACAAUUACCCUUAAGUUUGAUCUCAAAUCAGGUAGGACUACCCGCUGAACUUAAGCAUAUCAAUAAGCGGAGGA
rnacentral:misc_RNA from 1 species